rnacentral:rRNA from 1 species
UUACUGGGCGUAAAGCGUGCGCAGGCGGUUAUGCAAGACAGAUGUGAAAUCCCCGGGCUCAACCUGGGAACUGCAUUUGUGACUGCAUGGCUAGAGUGCGGCAGAGGGGGAUGGAAUUCCGCGUGUAGCAGUGAAAUGCGUAGAUAUGCGGAGGAACACCGAUGGCGAAGGCAAUCCCCUGGGCCUGCACUGACGCUCAUGCACGAAAGCGUGGGGAGCAAACAGGAUUAGAUACCCUGGUAGUCCACGCCCUAAACGAUGUCAACUGGUUGUUGGGAGGGUUUCUUCUCAGUAACGAAGCUAACGCGUGAAGUUGACCGCCUGGGGAGUACGGCCGCAAGGUUGAAACUCAAAGGGAUUGACGGGGACCCGCACAAGCGGUGGAUGAUGUGGUUUAAUUCGAUGCAACGCGAAAAACCUUACCUACCCUUGACAUGUCUGGAAUCCUGAAGAGAUUUAGGAGUGCUCGAAAGAGAGCCAGAACACAGGUGCUGCAUGGCCGUCGUCAGCUCGUGUCGUGAGAUGUUGGGUUAAGUCCCGCAACGAGCGCAACCCUUGUCAUUAGUUGCUACGAAAGGGCACUCUAAUGAGACUGCCGGUGACAAACCGGAGGAAGGUGGGGAUGACGUCAGGUCCUCAUGGCCCUUAUGGGUAGGGCUACACACGUCAUACAAUGGCCGGUACAGAGGGCUGCCAACCCGCGAGGGGGAGCCAAUCCCAGAAAACCGGUCGUAGUCCGGAUCGCAGUCUGCAACUCGACUGCGUGAAGUCGGAAUCGCUAGU